rnacentral:rRNA from 1 species
UGGGGAAUAUUGCACAAUGGGCGCAAGCCUGAUGCAGCCAUGCCGCGUGUAUGAAGAAGGCCUUCGGGUUGUAAAGUACUUUCAGCGGGGAGGAAGGCGAUAAGGUUAAUAACCUUGUCGAUUGACGUUACCCGCAGAAGAAGCACCGGCUAACUCCGUGCCAGCAGCCGCGGUAAUACGGAGGGUGCAAGCGUUAAUCGGAAUUACUGGGCGUAAAGCGCACGCAGGCGGUUUGUCAAGUCGGAUGUGAAAUCCCCGGGCUCAACCUGGGAACUGCAAUCGAAACUGGCAGGCUAGAGUCUUGUAGAGGGGGGUAGAAUUCCAGGUGUAGCGGUGAAAUGCGUAGAGAUCUGGAGGAAUACCGGUGGCGAAGGCGGCCCCCUGGACAAAGACUGACGCUCAGGUGCGAAAGCGUGGGGAGCAAACA